rnacentral:rRNA from 1 species
UGUGUAGGCGGUUUGGUAAGUCUGGUGUGAAAUCUCCCGGCUCAACUGGGAGGGUGCGCCGGAAACUGCCGGACUCGAGUGCGGGAGAGGAGAGUGGAAUUCCUGGUGUAGCGGUGAAAUGCGUAGAUAUCAGGAGGAACACCGGUGGUGUAGACGGCUCUCUGGACCGUAACUGACGCUGAAACACGAAAGCGUGGGUAGCAAACAAGAUUAGAUACCCUGGUAGUCCACGCCCUAAACGAUGCAUAUUUGGUGUGGGUCAUUCAGUUGAUCCGUGCCGGAGCUAACGCGUUAAAUAUGCCGCCUGGGGAGUACAGUCGCAAGGCUGAA